AACGAACGCUGGCGGCAGGCUUAACACAUGCAAGUCGAACGCACCUUUCGGGGUGAGUGGCAGACGGGUGAGUAACGCGUGGGAAUCUACCCUUCUCUACGGGAUAGCUCCGGGAAACUGGAAUUAAUACCGUAUACGUCCUGAGGGAGAAAGAUUUAUCGGGUAAGGAUGAGCCCGCGUUGGAUUAGCUAGUUGGUGGGGUAAAGGCCUACCAAGGCGACGAUCCAUAGCUGGUCUAAGAGGAUGAUCAGCCACAUUGGGACUGAGACACGGCCCAAACUCCUACGGGAGGCAGCAGUGGGGAAUAUUGGACAAUGGGCGCAAGCCUGAUCCAGCCAUGCCGCGUGAGUGAUGAAGGCCCUAGGGUUGUAAAGCUCUUUCAGUGGGGACGAUAAUGACGGUACCAACAGAAGAAGCCCCGGCUAACUUCGUG
rnacentral:rRNA from 1 species